AGUGAACGCUGGCGGUAUGCCUAACACAUGCAAGUCGAACGACAGCACAGUAAGCGCUUGCCCUUACGGGUGGCGACUGGCGGACGGGUGACGAAUACAUCGGAAUCUACUUUUUCGUGGGGGAUAACGUAGGGAAACUUACGCUACUACCGCAUACGUCCUACCGGUGAAAUCAGUGGAGCUUCGUACCUUGCCUGUCUGUAUUAGCUGAUGUCGGAUUAGCUAGUUGGCGUGGUAAAGGCCCACCAAGGCAACGAUCCGUAGCUGAUCUGAGAGGAUGAUCGGCCACACUGGAACUGAGACACGGUCCAGACUCCUACGGGAGGCAGCAGUGGGGAAUAUUCGGCAAUGGGCGAAAGCCUGACGCAGCAAUACCGCGUGAGUGAAGAAGGCCUUCGGGUCGUAAAGCCCUUUUGUUAGGAAAGAAAAGCAGUAGGUUAAAACGUGGCUGUUCUGACGGUACCCAAAGAAUAAGCACCGGCUAACUUCGUG
rnacentral:rRNA from 1 species